GCACACGUCAGGCUCAGCUCUCAGGAUGGACCUGUUCACCUCUUUUCAGGAGAAACAUUCAUCUCUCUACUACCUCUUCUACAACAUUCAUCACUGAGUAAAGGACAGAGAUUCUUCCUUCUAUAAUUGUCAUGUGAUUGAAGACCCAUGAGUGGGGAGACAUUAAGAAGAAAGAAGUUGUAGCAAGAUGAAAGAAGUAACUUUGAAAUUCAACACCCAAUUGAAUGUGCAACGUUUGGAAUGGAGUAUAAAAUUAUGAAAGAAAUUCAUCCUACUGCCAUAUACUUCCUUAUCCACAUGAUCCUUGGGACCAGAAUUUGAAUCUCCAAGAAAAAGACAGAAUUUGAAAUUAUUUCUUGUACAAUAUCAAGAGUCAGACAGACUGAGCAGCCCAAAGGUUUUUAAACUAUGUUUCCAACAAUUUUGACAUCUUUCACAGUAGCCUUCGAAAGCCACGGGGACUCCUGUCACUCCCGGUCCCCAGAAGCAGCCAGCCCUUGCUGCACCCUGACUGUAAAAUAGCAGGCUUUCUGACACAUCUCUCUAACAAGCCUCAACACAGAAGUUAUCAAGAAAGCAAUGGGCCUUUUCUAAAUGGAGAAGAAAAGAAGUGCCUUGGGCUUCUGGGCUAGAUUGCUUCUCGAGAAGUGAUGCUUUGAAGGUGGCAACUUCUAUCAACAUUGCUACAGUCUUCCUAUGGUACAAGAACACAUAGCAUUUCAGAGUGCUUUACCAACUGGAAAGUUAUCUCAGUAUAUUUGUUACAUUAGUAUUUGUUAUAGCAGUAUGUAUAUGAUGUUUCAUAACACAUAUUUUAUUAGCUAGAAUGGGAAAGAAAAAUAGUUAAAGUGGAAAGAUAAAAUUAGUAUAUUUUUUGUAGUUGUCAGAACAAACACAACUUGCUCUUCCAGGAGAAGGAAAAAACAUAGCCAGAAAGAUACCCUUUCACGCCAAAUAGGCUCUCAGAAAACUCAAGACUUCCUAAGACAGAAGUGAAAUCAUUCUUUCUUCUGCUCUUUGUAUCAAUAUUUCCUUGCAAAAUUUAUCAUUGUGUCCUUCAGCAAAUAUCCUUUAACCACCCAGUUUGUUGGUUCUUAUAAAUGUACAGUUUUUUUGCCAUCUGAGGUAACCUAAAGUACAUUCUGACGGCAGUUCUAUUUAGUCCAUAUUUGGGUGAAAUGGUUAAUGAAGAAGCAGGAGAAUAUGAAAAAAAAAAUGCAGGCUGCAAUUGUUUUGUACUCUGGCAUUUAAGAAUGGCAACUUUUAUCAGCAUUAUGUUCAUUAAAAUCCAGUGGUUCAGGAUAAUCUGUCCUGGAUCAAGAAGUGAUACCACUAAGCAUAAUCCAAGAGUGGUUUUCAAGAUCAAAGUGCGUCCUGAAAUCCAAUUGCAAUUGAAAGAUGAAAGUUUUACUCCUAACAUGAGAAGUUAUUCCAUUCACUGACAUAAACGAAUUUUUGACUGGUAGACUUUGUUUUCUUUCAGUACUGUCAUUGUAAGUAGGAUAGAUGCUAUGGAAUAUAUGCCACAGUGAACACCUUGUUAUUUCAAAUGCCUAAAAUAUUCAUUUUAAUCUCAAGUUGUUUUAAUAAUAAGCAUUACAUUUUAAUUGAUUAAAGCCAGAAAUCUCCCAUUUUUAUGGCUAAAUGAUCAGGUUGGAAAUGAAUAAAUUUUUAAAUUGUUUACAGUAGAAUACAUGAAAUAUUCAAAAUUACUAAAAUGAAUUGAGCUACAUUCUACUAACAUUCUUAAAUGGAUGUCUGAAAUAUGAAUUUGUAAAUGAAUAAAGUGUUAUGAAUUUAA